rnacentral:rRNA from 1 species
GAUGAACGCUGGCGGCGUGCCUAAUACAUGCAAGUCGAGCGAACGGACGAGAAGCUUGCUUCUCUGAUGUUAGCGGCGGACGGGUGAGUAACACGUGGAUAACCUACCUAUAAGACUGGGAUAACUUCGGGAAACCGUAGCUAAUACCGGAUAAUAUUUUGAACCGCAUGGUUCAAAAGUGAAAGACGGUCUUGCUGUCACUUAUAGAUGGAUCCGCGCUGCAUUAGCUAGUUGGUAAGGUAACGGCUUACCAAGGCAACGAUGCAUAGCCGACCUGAGAGGGUGAUCGGCCACACUGGAACUGAGACACGGUCCAGACUCCUACGGGAGGCAGCAGUAGGGAAUCUUCCGCAAUGGGCGAAAGCCUGACGGAGCAACGCCGCGUGAGUGAUGAAGGUAUUCGGAUCGUAAAACUAUGUUAUUAGGGAAGAACAUAUGUGUAAGUAACUGUGCACAUCUUGACGGUACCUAAUCAGAAAGCCACGGCUAACUACGUG